GGGCUUCAUAGUCUUGCAAUUGGAAUGAGUAGAUUUUAAAUCUCUUUACGAGUAUCAAUUGGAGGGCAAGUCUGGUGCCAGCAGCCGCGGUAAUUCCAGCCCCAAUAGCGUAUAUUAAAGUUGUUGCGGUUAAAAAGCUCGUAGUUGGAUUUCUGCCAAGAACGACCGUCCUACCUUCGGGUUUUGGACCGUGCUGAUCGAGGCAUUCUUCUAGAUUCUAUCUACUCUUAAUUGCUGUAGAAUUGAACUAGAACAUUUACUUUGAGGAAAUUAGAGCGUUUCAAGCAGGC
rnacentral:rRNA from 1 species